CUCACGGCUGGCGGCGGUGAAGAUGGCAGAUUUUUUGAAAGGACUACCAGUCUACAACAAAAGCAACUUCAGCAGAUUCCAUGCGGAUUCCGUAUGUAAAGCAUCAAAUAGGAGACCAUCAGUAUAUCUUCCCACGAGGGAAUAUCCAUCUGAACAAAAAUGCAGCAAAGAAGAGAGAUCAAGAGCAGGUGGAAAUAGAAGUGGAGUCAAAGGAUGCUCUUCUCCUGUGCUGAGUAGUUGAUCACCAGUGUGCGGAAGCAGCGGCGGAUGGAGCAGCGUGGGAUACGCACCCCACAGGCAGCCCGUGGCUGGAGAAGUCUGGGAGCACCUCAGCAACUGCAUCUAGUUCUGGCUCAGCUGCCAGCUCCGAAUAAUGGUACGUUGUGUUGUGCUGCAGUAGCAGAAUGGAGUUGAUGAAAACAUGAGCUUCCAUGGUCUCUGGUGAAGACCAAUCUCUCUUGGACUGUGACAGUUCAGUGCCUGUUGCCUGGAACCCUUCACUGACUCUUCGAGAAGAGCCAAACCGGAGGCCCAUAAGUCAUCUGCGUGGAUUCAGAGGUUGAGAGACUCAAAGGAAACGAGCAUUGUCACCUGAAGGGGACAGGAAAGGUGUAGCUUAGUAAUGAUGUCUUGUCUGCUUUAACGUAAGAAGCUGACUUCACACUGUGUUAGUUGAAAUUGUUGCAUUUAUAGCUGUGGGGGUUGUUUUCUUCCUCGUUGACAAAUCCUAAACACCAUGAAAUCACAGGAAUGUUGUUCUGGAGAUCCUGGACAAGCCUCAUUCCGAGCGGCUGCAGCAGGUGGAAGCUUUGAGGGGUUCUGCUCUCCCUCUCUCCGUGGCAUUCCCAUCCAACCCAGGGACACCAGGUUUGGGAACGAAGGGAACACGGAGGGAGAAAAACUUGCUGCCGACCAUAGGUUGCGAGGCAGACCCUUAGGAAGAGCAGGGCACAGCUCACAUUGCAAUUCCAAAUGUACCUUUAGGCACCGGGUUUCUGAUGCAGUGAGUGAAUUUAACUUAACACCAAGUAGUUUAGAACUUUGUAUCUGCCUCAAAAAAAACCCAACCAACCUUUUUGCUAUGGCAGUAACCUCCAAAUUACUGGAAUGCCGUUGAAGAUGCCAACCAUGUUGGUGAAGAUAAAAUACACUUGGGUUUCCCUGUGAUUUACUGGUGAUGGCAAGAGGACUCCACGCUGUCAGCAAGUGCUUUUGUGCACAGUGAAAGAUGUUGAAGAUCAUCGUGGGGUGAAGCUGAAGCUGAAGAACCCUUUGAAGAGAUACCAGAGGAGAAAACGGAUGUGCAGCUGGUGGUAAAGUGUGACCAAUCUGUGUGUAGCAAAGCUGGAGAGCUGCAGCCUUGCAGCAAUGUCUGUACAGUGCUUUCAAGUUGUAAAAUGCUGUAUAAUUCUUGGUGGAUCCGGCAAGGUUUGAGCUUUGCUGACUAUUCUGCUAGCCAGAGUGAUGUACUAUUAAAGAGAGUUGGCAGUUCCUUCCUGUUGUAAACCCCCGUCUUUGUUCCCUCCGUGUCCUUUACAACUGAUCGUGGUGGUUAUGGGAACCUUUGCCAAUGUUUCAGUGGUUUGAGGAGGUAAAAGAAAGUUGCCUUUUUCAAGCAGUUGGGAAGCACUGGAGGAAGAAGGCUUCAGAGCACUGUUAAGCGUCCAACUGGUUGGGUGUUGGUUUUGUUGCAUCGGUGGCUGUGUACAAGCAGUGUGGAUUUCUGAUCCCUGCACUGAGGCUCUCUCCAUCCAGCCUGAAGCCAGAGCUCCCUCCCUUCCUCCUCCACCUCCUCCAGGCUGCUGCUGGCUCCAGUGCUGUCCUCCAGCUCUUGCACUUUGAUCCUAUAUUCCCGUCUGUUUAGUACGUGGUAAGUGUCUCGGGUUUGAAUGUUGCAUGGAAGAUCUCAUUUGCCUAAUUGUGACUUCCUGGUGCCUUAGUGCAUUGAAACCAACACCAACAAAUGUUGACAAACCCAAACCCUGGGGGUUUGCUGACCACACUGUGUGUACAAUACCGAGCUCCUCUGAUUCCAACUCUUGUUAUAAAGUGACUGAGAUUUAGCCACCCUCAGGGGGUUUUGUAUCUGUCUGCAUAGUGGUAUUUUUAUUGUUUCUGUUACCAAUGUAUACUAAAGGUUUGGGUUUUUAAAUGAAAACUUGAGAUACUUGUCA
ensembl:lncRNA